AAAUUGAGCAGCAUGUGCGAGGAUGCUAGCAAAAAGAACUGCAUAACUACCAGUUAAAAGACUCAUACCAUAAUAACCAGCAUAACCUACAGAAUACAUGGGAUGAGGAGCGAGCUCAAAAACUCCGUUGAAAACCAAAGAAGAGCGAAGCAAAAAGAAAAAAUCACCCCAAUACCAAGCGUAGUCGCGAACAACUCUAUGAGCAUCCAUUUUUACCCAAUAGUUGAAUACAAUAAGCGCGAUACCUCCAAAAAUCCUCAAAAAUUGAAGAAUGAUAUUAACCUUCGGCCAACAAGUCCAUGCCAAUCCCAUCAAAAUGUAUGAGCAGAAAUCGCACAUGAGAAUUAAAUCGACGAAGUGACGGAAUACCAACCAGGAAUU